rnacentral:rRNA from 1 species
GCGAUGCUCUGAUUACAUCUUGAUCCUGGCUCAGGAUGAACGCUGGCGGCGUGCUUAACACAUGCAAGUCGAACGGAGAUUACUUUUUAGCUUGCUAAGUUGUAAUCUUAGUGGCGGACGGGUGAGUAACGCGUGGGUAACCUGCCUUAUACCGGGGGACAACAGUUGGAAACGACUGCUAAUACCGCAUAAGCGCACAGUCUCGCAUGAGACGGUGUGAAAAACUCCGGUGGUAUAAGAUGGACCCGCGUCUGAUUAUCCUUUGUUGGCGGUGUGUAACGGACCACCAAAGCGACGAUCAGUAGCCGGCCUGAGAGGGUGAACGGCCACAUUGGGACUGAGACACGGCCCAAACUCCUACGGGGAGGCAGCAGUGGGGAAUAUUGCACAUGGAGGAACUCUGAUGCAGCGACGCGCGUGAGUGAGGAAGUAUUUCGGUAUGUAAAGCUCUAUCAGCAGAAAGAAAUGACAGUACUGACUAGAGCCCGGCUACUACUGCACACCCCGGUAUACUAAGGGGAGCGUAUCCGAUUACUGGUGUAAGGAGCGAACGCCUGCAGCUAAUGAAGUCGGGCUACCGACGUUGACUAGUGUGAGAC